GCCAAAUACUCAAAAUCUUUUAUUGAGGAAGAUGAACCAGCUAAGAAAGAAAAUGCCAGCAAAAAAGAAGCAAAAGUAUCUAAAAUAGAUAAUAAAAAGCAAAAUGCAGUAGAAAAAGAGAGGCCGUCAAUCAGUAAGGUGAAAAAUAAGGUCGUGCCGGAGAAACACUCUGCUACGAACAGUAGCGCCAUACCAAAAGUAAAGAAAGAUAAACAACAGGAUAUCUUUGAAUUUUUUGAGAGACAAACUUUGUUGCUCAAGUCUGGAGGCAAGUGGUAUGAUCUGGAGUAUGCCAACGAAUAUUGUUUGGAACCCCAGCCUCAGGAUAUUGUGUCUAAGUACAAAACCCUGGCUCAGAAACUAUAUGAGUGUGAAGUUAACUUAUUCAAAAAUAAAACAAAUAAUCAAAAAGGAGCCUCUUCUACCUGGAUGAAGGCAAUUGUAUCAUCAGGAACAUUAGGUGACAGGAUGGCAGCCAUGAUUCUCCUUAUCCAGGAUGAUGCUGUUCACACACUCCAGUUUGUGGAAACUCUCCUGAACCUGGUUAAAAAGAAGGGCAGCAAGCAGCAGUGCCUCAUGGCUUUAGAUACUUUCAAAGAGUUACUCAUUACAGACCUUUUACCAGAUCAUCGGAAGUUGCGGAUUUUCAGCCAGCAUCCUUUCAACAAACUGGAUCAGGUGUGCAGUGGCAACAAGGAUUCCAGAGAUAGAAGACUGAUAUUAUGGUAUUUUGAACACCAGCUGAAACAUUUAGUAGCUGAAUUUGUUCAGGUCUUAGAAACCUUCAGUCAUGAUUCAUUAGUAGCCACUAAAACUCGGGCCCUGGCAGCAGCUCAUGAACUACUCUGUAACAAGCCUGAAGAAGAAAAGGCUCUUCUGGUGCAGGUGGUAAAUAAACUGGGAGAUCCUCAGAACAAAAUAGCCACUAAAGCCUCCCAUCUGUUAGAGACAUUACUUUCUAAACAUCCAAAUAUGAAAGGAGUUGUGUGUGGUGAAAUAAAAAGACUACUCUUCCGCUCAAAUAUCAGCGCCAAGGCUCAGUAUUAUGCGAUUUGCUUUCUAAAUCAAACAGCCCUCUCCCAUGAAGAAAGUGAAUUGGCUAGCAAAUUAAUAACUAUCUAUUUUUGUUUUUUUCGGACUUGUAUCAAGAAAAAAGAUAUUGAGUCAAAAAUGCUCAGUGCCCUUUUAACAGGUGUGAAUAGGGCAUACCCUUACUCCCAGAGCGGGGAUGACAAAGUGAGGGAGCAGGUGGACACUUUGUUCAAAGUGUUGCAUAUUGUAAACUUUAAUACCAGCAUUCAGGCUUUGAUGCUGCUUUUCCAAGUAAUGAAUUCUCAGCAGACGAUAUCGGAUCGGUAUUAUACAGCAUUGUACAGGUAAGUAGGGAGUGUUCCACUGUGCGCAUGGGAGUGAUAAAUGGAUCUAGUAGUGCGCGUGUAGUGCCUGGCUGCUGGGCAAGAGAAGGACCCAGAACUGGCUUUAGGCCUUCCUCAGCUGCUUGCUACUUCCCAACUUUGCAUGUGUCACAUACUACCGCCUACUGUUGUAAAGUUAACAUUUGCCACAUUUGCCAUAAAGUUUGAGACAAGAAAAUAAGCCACAAGUGCAUUUGCACUGCCUUUCUCAUAUUAUCAGUUCUCUGUUCCCUCUCUGU